ensembl:tRNA
GCCGCCAUAGCUCAGUCGGUUAGAGCGUGGGCCAAGGCCCAAGGUCGCCCAAGGCCCAAGGUCGCCCAAGGCCAAGGUAAGCCCAAGGUCGCAGGUUCGACCCCUGCUGGCGGCA